rnacentral:misc_RNA from 1 species
GGCCGCCGGUGAGAUCAUACAGAAGAAAGACAAUAGAAAUGAACACUAAAUUCGUUAAAGUUGCGGCUGAUGGGGCGCCGUAUCUGCGUAAGCUCGACCUUGAGAUGUUCAAUGGCUAUCAACAGUUAUUCAUCGCAUUCGAGCAAUUGUUUACCUCUUUUCCUAUACGUUGUGAUUACUUGGAAGAAGGGAACAAUUUGAACCCAGUGAAAAGAGCAGAUGAAUACUUACCAACUUAUGAAGAUAAAGAUGGGGAUUGGAUGUUAGUUGGAGAUGUCCCUUGGAAAUUGUUUAUUGAAUCUUGCAAACGUAUUCGUUUGAUGAAAGGUUCAGAUGCCAUUGGCACAGCUUCAAGAACACCAUAAAAAGGAGGGAUGGAGAGGAAGCUUUUGG